AUUGAACGCUGGCGGCAUGCCUAACACAUGCAAGUCGAACGGUAACGCGAGGAGCUUGCUCCUUGGCGACGAGUGGCGGACGGGUGAGUAAUACUUAGGAAUCUACCCAGUAGUGGGGGACAACAUUCGGAAACGGAUGCUAAUACCGCAUACGCACUACGGUGGAAAGUGGGGGACCUUCGGGCCUCACGCUAUUGGAUGAGCCUAAGUCGGAUUAGCUUGUUGGUGAGGUAAUGGCUCACCAAGGCGACGAUCCGUAGCUGGUCUGAGAGGACGAUCAGCCACACUGGGACUGAGACACGGCCCAGACUCCUACGGGAGGCAGCAGUGGGGAAUAUUGGACAAUGGGCGCAAGCCUGAUCCAGCAAUGCCGCGUGUGUGAAGAAGGCCUGCGGGUUGUAAAGCACUUUCAGUAGAGAAGAAAAGCCUAGGGUUAAUAACCCUGAGUCUUGACGUAACCUACAGAAGAAGCACCGGCUAACUCCGU
rnacentral:rRNA from 1 species